rnacentral:rRNA from 1 species
AUGCAAGUCGAACGGUAAGGCCCUUUCGGGGGUACACGAGUGGCGAACGGGUGAGUAACACGUGGGUGACCUGCCCUGUACUUCGGGAUAAGCCUGGGAAACUGGGUCUAAUACCGGAUAUGACCUUCUCCUGCAUGGGGGUUGGUGGAAAGCUUUUGCGGUACAGGAUGGGCCCGCGGCCUAUCAGCUUGUUGGUGGGGUAAUGGCCUACCAAGGCGACGACGGGUAGCCGGCCUGAGAGGGCGACCGGCCACACUGGGACUGAGACACGGCCCAGACUCCUACGGGAGGCAGCAGUGGGGAAUAUUGCACAAUGGGCGCAAGCCUGAUGCAGCGACGCCGCGUGAGGGAUGACGGCCUUCGGGUUGUAAACCUCUUUCAGUAGGGACGAAGCGCAAGUGACGGUACCUACAGAAGAAGCACCGGCCAACUACGUGCCAGCAGCCGCGGUAAUACGUAGGGUGCAAGCGUUGUCCGGAAUUACUGGGCGUAAAGAGCUCGUAGGCGGUUUGUCACGUCGUCUGUGAAAACCCGAGGCUUAACCUCGGGCCUGCAGGCGAUACGGGCAGACUUGAGUACUGUAGGGGAGACUGGAAUUCCUGGUGUAGCGGUGGAAUGCGCAGAUAUCAGGAGGAACACCGGUGGCGAAGGCGGGUCUCUGGGCAGUAACUGACGCUGAGGAGCGAAAGCGUGGGUAGCGAACAGGAUUAGAUACGCUGGUAGUCCACGCCGUAAACGGUGGGUACUAGGUGUGGGUUUCCUUCCACGGGAUCCGUGCCGUAGCUAACGCAUUAAGUACCCCGCCUGGAGAGUACGGCCGCAAGGCUAAUACUCAGAGGAAUUGACGGGCGCCCGCACAAGCGGCGGAGCAUGUGGAUUAAUUCGAUGCAACGCGAA